CUUUUAUCUUGUUGGGAAGAAAGCAGGUGAAAAGGUCAGAGUUCAAGUAGCAAUGAGAUGGAAACAUAUGGAAAGGUUGAAAAUUAGGAAGUGGAUAGGGAUAGACAUGUAAUCGUACCCCAGAGUUGAGAAGAGCUUCAUGUGAUAGAUACCCAAAUAGAAGGUGUCAACAGAAUUUUAUGAAAAUGGUUUUCUAUGAUAAUUUUUAUACCAAAAGAUUUUUCCAUUAUAUUUAAAAAAAAAAAAAACUACUUUGGUGCACUUUACAUUGGAGAGAAAGACAAAAGAAGAAAUGAGAAGGAUGAGGUUGAAACUACUGUUACUUCCAAAACAAAAAAACUUUUUUUUCUAAAUAAAUAGUUGUUGUUUUUUUUUUUUUUCUUUUUGGCUCCCUCCCUUUCCCUGAAUGUUUGUCUGAUGAUCCUCCCCUCCACACACAUACCUUUUUAAUCUCUCUUUUUCCCUUUCCCAUUUUCUUCCACUCUCUGCCCCACUUUUUCCUUCUCACACCCAAGAUAGGUGGGUGUUUGUGUGUGUGGAGGUGAAGGGGGGUGAAGAGAGCAUCGUGGGAAUGUUUCUUUCCCCACCAGAUUGAAGGGAGCACUGAUUUUUUUUCCUCUUUUGCUAGAAAUAAUUGCAAAAAAGAGGGGAACAAUCUUUUUGAACGAACAAGGGACCUAACAAGGCUAAGCAGUGUUACUGUAUUUUUUUUUAAGUUUUUUUUUUCUUUAAGACUUGUUUUCAGGUUAACAAAUUAAAUCUGAAAAAGCUAUCCCUCAUUGUCUUUUUUUUUUUUUUUAAAUACAUGAUUAGCACAUUGGGGAUUUAUAGCGUCUAUUUUCAGAAACGAAUUCUCUAGUAUAUUAUAGUUCUAAUUACUAAAUAUUAGGUGAAUUUUUCUUUUAUUUUUUAGAGAAAGUAGUUGAGCAUUUAUUAUUAAGGAAAUUGCAUUUCCCCCCAGAAUAAAGUAAAGCAUUGAAUACUGUGUUAUCACUUGAAUAAAGACAAAUAGAGUUUUUUUAAUGGCAUAUAAAACAUUGUUUCAAAAAGAAAAAAAAAAAGAUAAGAUGAAAGAAAGAAGGAAGGAAGGAACAAAAGAAGGAAAGGAGGGAGGAAGGGAAGAAGGAAAAAAAGAAGGAAGGAAGGAAGAAAAAAAUAGAAAACUUGAAGCAGUAACAGCUCUUACAUAGUUUCAGAUAACUAUCAUCAUAGACAUCCCGCCAAAUUAAAUAGAAGGUGCUAUCUUACAAGUUUUUGUUAGGUUUUUAAAACAACUGCCAGGAUGUCAGUUCUUUUUAGUUUGAAAUGACAGUGAUGAGAUAGAAGAAAAUCCGCAUUGCUGCCAAUUACUUUUGGCUUGGGGAAGAUAUAUUUUAAAGAUAUUCCUUCCCAUGAUUUUUCUGACUUAAAAGAUAUUUGAAUUGAAUUCUUACACAAAACUUUUAUGCUUUUAUUUCCACCGAUGCAGUGAUUUUUAGACAGUGUCUUACUGCAUUAUUCAAAGAUGUGAAAUGCUUUUUUUUUUUUUUUAAACCAGUUUUCAUGGUGUACAGGAAGUAUACAGAGUGACUAUGCCAAAGUGCCUGGGCACACAGUUGACCUUUGCCAGGCAGGACAGUUCUACAUCAGUGUUGGUGACAUGGAACACUAGGAAAGUUGUCUAUUGUAGCUUUUAUUCUGGCAACACUCUCAGAAUGUAGUUCUCAGAAGAAGCACGACUCAAUGACACAAUGCUGUUUGUAAGACAUCGUACAUUAAUUUUAAAUGGGAAAAAUGGGUGAUUGAAAAAAGAUUGCUUCCUAAUACACUACAUCCAUUUAUGUUCUAGUGCCUUAAUUUUUUAAUUUACUUCUACAUUUUUGUUAUAUGACAUAUGUGUGAGUGUUUAUUUUUAAUUUAGAUGGCUAUGUCAGAUCAAACUGUUGUACCCAGAGUUUGGUACUGGUUUUUUUUUUUUCUCUGAUCCUG
ensembl:lncRNA